rnacentral:rRNA from 1 species
GACGAACGCUGGCGGCGUGCCUAAUACAUGCAAGUUGAGCGCUGAAGGUUGGUACUUGUACCAACUGGAUGAGCAGCGGACGGGUGAGUAACGCGUGGGGAAUCUGCCUUUGAGCGGGGGACAACAUUUGGAAACGAAUGCUAAUACCGCAUAAAAACUUUAAACACAAGUUUUAAGUUUGAAAGAUGCAAUUGCAUCACUCAAAGAUGAUCCCGCGUUGUAUUAGCUAGUUGGUGAGGUAAAGGCUCACCAAGGCGAUGAUACAUAGCCGACCUGAGAGGGUGAUCGGCCACAUUGGGACUGAGACACGGCCCAAACUCCUACGGGAGGCAGCAGUAGGGAAUCUUCGGCAAUGGACGAAAGUCUGACCGAGCAACGCCGCGGGAGUGAAGAAGGGUUUCGGAUCGUAAAACUCUGUUGGUAGAGAAGAACGUUGGUGAGAGUGGAAAGCUCAUCAAGUGACGGUAACUACCCAGAAAGGGACGGCUAACUACGUG